rnacentral:rRNA from 1 species
UACAGAGGUCUCAAGCGUUGUUCGGAUUCAUUGGGCGUAAAGGGUGCGUAGGUGGCAAGGUAAGUCGGGUGUGAAAUCCCGGGGCUCAACCCUGGAACUGCACUCGAUACUGCCAUGCUCGAGUACUGGAGAGGAGACUGGAAUUUACGGUGUAGCAGUGAAAUGCGUAGAUAUCUGGAGGAACACCGGCGGCGAAGGCGAGUCCCUGGACAAUUCCUGACGCUGAGGCACGAAAGCUAGGGGAGCAAACAGG